GGAGAAUUGUAAGUUUUUCUUAUACAAUACGAAGAAAUCCAGAGACAAUCCGCCAGGACGGCGGAUUGAGCUUGCUCUUGCCAUGGAUGGCAAUUGCAAGCGGUCUCGUCCCUGGCCGAUAACCCAAAAGUAUUGUAUUAGAAAAACACA
rnacentral:ncRNA from 1 species